rnacentral:rRNA from 1 species
UUGGAGGGCAAGUCUGGUGCCAGCAGCCGUGGUAAUUCCAGCUCCAAUAGCGUAUAUUAAAGUUGUUGCAGUUAAAAAGCUCGUAGUUGAAUUUCGGGAUCAGUACGCUGGUCGUGCCUUUGGUAUGUACUGGUGUCACUGAUUCCUCCCUUCUGAAGAACCGUUAUGCCAUUUAUUUGGUGUGGCGGGGAAUCAGGACUGUUACUUUGAAAAAAUUAGAGUGUUUAAAGCAGGCUCGCGCUUGAAUACAUUAGCAUGGAAUAAUGAAAUAGGACGUUUGAUCUUAUUUUGUUGGUUUCUAGGAUCGACGUAAUGAUUAAUAGGGAUAGUUGGGGGCAUUAGUAUUCAAUUGUCAGAGGUGAAAUUCUUGGAUUUAUUGAAGACUAACUACUGCGAAAGCAUUUGCCAAGGAUGUUUUCAUUAAUCAAGAACGAAAGUUAGGGGAUCGAAGACGAUCAGAUACCGUCGUAGUUUUAACCAUAAACUAUGCUGACUAGGGAUCGGAUGAUGUUAUUUUUAAUGACUCAUUCGGCGCCUUACGGGAAAC